UGCCGCAGGCAACGGCCCGAAGGGCGAAGCGCGCAGCGCUGAGUAAUCUCUCCCCCACCACCA
rnacentral:sRNA from 1 species